CCAAUUUUGUCUCCCCUGCCAACCAGUGAAUUACUGUGAUGCAUAAAAAUGUCACAUGUCAUGUCUGACAAAACAAUGAUGACACCUAACACAGCACUCAGACAUUGCCUCCUUAUUGAAGACCUGGACUACAGCUGGUGGCACUGUGAGGAGACAGUGGAUGAUGCAGGGUGUGGCCUUGUGGCAAGAAGUAGAAGGCUGCUGCCCUGCAGGAAGGCCCAGAGUAGCCUGUGGAAGGAUGAUCUGAGCAGUGCUAGUGGGACCCUCAUAUACUAACCUAUCGAUGGCCAGUGGCCAGACAUGGAUCCAAGAUCCCCUGGUCCUCCAGCAGACCACAGAGAACAACCAAGUUGUCCCAGAACAGAAGAGAUGGUAUAACUCCUCAGGUGCCCCAGCCAACCUUCAGCCAAUGACCUAAAUAAUAAAUACUUCUUGUAUCGA
rnacentral:lncRNA from 1 species